GUAAUUCCAGCUCCAAUAGCGUAUAUUAAAGUUGUUGCGGUUAAAACGUUCGUAGUUGAAUUUGUGUCCCACACGGGUAAUGCUCCCAAGUGCGGGUUAGUAUUACUUGUUGCAUGUAUAUGUUUACUGUAAAAGGUGGCAUGUGCAUGUGACUUUAAGUGUGACGGAUGUUUUACCGGUGAGGGAAACGAUCUUCUAAUGGUGUUUCAUACAUGUUAUGGACUCUAUUGUUGACACGCCCCUUAUGUAUAACCCACUUUGGUGCUCUUUACCGAGUGCCACUGUGGGCCGGUACAGUUACUUUGAACAAAUUAGAGUGCUCAAGGCAGGCUAAAUUUAAUGAAAGUUAAAACGCCUGAAUAUAUUUUGCAUGGAAUAAUGGAAUAGGACCUCUGUUCUAUUUUCAAUUGGUUUUAUAGAGAUCCAAGAGGUAAUGAUUAAUAGAAGCAGUUGGGGGCAUUAGUAUUACGAGGCGAGAGGUGAAAUUCGUAGACCCUCGUAAGACUGACUUAAGCGAAAGCAUUUGCCAAGGAUGUUUUCAUUAAUCAAGAACGAAAGUUAGAGGAUCGAAGGCGAUCAGAUACCGCCCUAGUUCUAACCAUAAACGAUGCCAGCUAGCAAUUGGAUGUAGCUACUUUAUCUAGGCUCAUUCAGUCGCUUUCCGGGAAACCAAAGCUUUUGGGCUCCGGGGGAAGUAUGGUUGCAAAGCUGAAACUUAAAGGAAUUGACGGAAGGGCACCACCAGGAGUGGAGCCUGCGGCUUAAUUUGACUCAACACGGGAAAACUUACCAGGUCCGAACAUAAAUGAGUAAGACAGAUUGAUAGCUCUUUCUCGAAUCUAUGGGUGGUGGUGCAUGGCCGUUCUUAGUUCGUGGAGUGAUUUGUCUGGUUAAUUCCGAUAACGAACGAGACUC
rnacentral:rRNA from 1 species